rnacentral:misc_RNA from 1 species
GUAGGUGAACCUGCGGAAGGAUCAUUACAGAGAAAUUGCCCCUUGGGGUAGAUCUCCCACCCUUUGUUUAUAAUUACCUUUGUUGCUUUGGCAGGCCCGUCUUUUGACCACUGGCUUAGGCUGGUCUGCGCCUGCCAGAGGACCCCUAAACUCUUGAUUUUUGUGUUGUCUGAGUAAUAUAACAAAUAACUGAAAACUUUCAACAACGGAUCUCUUGGUUCUG